rnacentral:rRNA from 1 species
GAUCCUGGCUCAGGAUGAACGCUAGCGGCAGGCUUAAUACAUGCAAGUCGUGGGGCAGCAGGUUUGUAGCAAUACAGAUGCUGGCGACCGGCAAACGGGUGCGGAACACGUACAGAACCUUCCUUUGAGCGGGGAAUAGCCCAGAGAAAUUUGGAUUAAUACCCCAUAGUAUAAUGAAGUGGCAUCACUUUAUUAUUAAAGAUUUAUCACUCGAAGAUGGCUGUGCGGCUGAUUAGGUAGUUGGCGGGGUAAAGGCCCACCAAGCCUGCGAUCAGUAACUGGUGUGAGAGCACGACCAGUCACACGGGCACUGAGACACGGGCCCGACUCCUAUGGGAGGCAGCAGUAAGGAAUAUUGGUCAAUGGAGGCAACUCUGAACCAGCCAUGCCGCGUGGAGGAUGAAGGUCCUCUGGAUUGUAAACUUCUUUUAUAUGGGACGAAAAAGGCUUUUCUAAGUCGUCUGACGGUACCAUAUGAAUAAGCACCGGCUAACUCCGUG